AACUGGGUAAUUACCUUUCCGUAAGGGGGGACUGCGGAAGGAUCAUUA
rnacentral:rRNA from 1 species